CCGUAACUAUAAAUUAACCGUUGUAGUUACGUAAAUAAACUUGGCUAUAUGCUGGAAACUCCGAGUAUCCUCCAGUACUCAUCUCAACUAAAAUUGAGGUAGUAAAAAUCUGCGAGGUGCGGACAAUCAGCAGGAAAGACUAAUCUUUUUGAUUAGAAUCCUCAGAGACUAAUACGCCGAGCGUACUUAGAAAAAAUCCAUUCUAAGUGUGAUGAUAGAGUCCGAUCUCUAUAGCGAUAUAGAG
rnacentral:ncRNA from 1 species